UACGGAGGAUCCAAGCGUUAUCCGGAAUCAUUGGGUUUAAAGGGUCCGUAGGCGGUUUUGUAAGUCAGUGGUGAAAGCCCAUCGCUCAACGGUGGAACGGCCAUUGAUACUGCAAGACUUGAACUAUUAGGAAGUAACUAGAAUAUGUAGUGUAGCGGUGAAAUGCUUAGAGAUUACAUGGAAUACCAAUUGCGAAGGCAGGUUACUACUAAUGGAUUGACGCUGAUGGACGAAAGCGUGGGGAGCGAACAGG
rnacentral:rRNA from 1 species